rnacentral:rRNA from 1 species
UACGUAGGGUGCGAGCGUUGUCCGGAAUUAUUGGGCGUAAAGAGCUCGUAGGCGGCCUGUCGCGUCGGAUGUGAAAGCCCGGGGCUUAACCCCGGGUCUGCAUUCGAUACGGGCAGGCUAGAGUGUGGUAGGGGAGAUCGGAAUUCCUGGUGUAGCGGUGAAAUGCGCAGAUAUCAGGAGGAACACCGGUGGCGAAGGCGGCAUCCUGGACCAACACUGACGCUGAGGAGCGAAAGCCAGGGGAGCAAACGGG